UAUCAUGAAUCCUAUUAUUAUUAAUUUUUUCCUCCUGACAAAUACAAUAUAUAAAGGACAAUUUUUCCAAUAAUUUCAUCAAAUCGUUUCAACAUGCCGAGUCCAGAAGAAGAUUUCCUCAUUUUACUUACUUUCGCCUUUAAUUUUAUUCUAAAAAAUCUUAGUGGCAUUUUGAAUAUGAUUAAUGGAAUGAACCCUAUUGCUCAGGCUAUUAAAGCAACUCCUCUAGGAGGUGGGCUGCUUGGAUAACAGUAACCAGAUUUUUAUUGUUCUGAAGGAAACAGGAAGUAAUUUACACGAAUAUAACCAUGACAAUACUGAGAGAUGGAGAGGAGAAAAUACCCUCUCAUGCAAUGAGAAUGUAAAAAAACUGAAUGGAAUUAUAAAUCGUGUGCACCGGAAUUGAACUUUUGGAAUUAUUGAUGUCUUUGAAUUUAGAAACCAGAAACCACUUCAGCAGUCAUCAAUGAUGGAGCUUGUUAAAAUUCUAUUCAGUGAUUUUUCGCAACGAAAGAAAAUAUAAUGAAGAUUAUUAUAAAAUUCAGGUUCAAUUAUUUAUACAAUACUGUGAAUGUUCCUUCAGAACGAUAAAAAUAUUUCUGAUCUCCAAGCAGACUUAAUAAAUAAAUAUAAAAAUGUAAAA